CUGAAAGCAUCUAAGCGGGAAGCCCGCCCCAAGAUGAGUCAUCCCGGGUGGCGUGACCACCCUGAAGACCCCGGACAGACCAUCCGGUCGAUAGGCCGCAGGUACAAGCAUGGCAACGUGUUCAGCCGAGCGGUACUAAUAGGUCGUGAGGCUUGACCAU
rnacentral:rRNA from 1 species